CGCAAUUCUGAAACGAUAAGAAAGAAACGAAAUUUGUAAAUGAUUUUACAAACGAGUUUCGUAAAGUUUCAUUAUUCUAUGUUAUUAAUAAACAGCGGAUAUUUAUGUAAAUUCAUAUUGUUAUGAACAUAAUUAAGAAGAUGGAACCUAGGUAAUAAAAAUUUUUGUUUCGGUCUUUGAUUUCUAAAAAUUACCCUGUAAAUUGUUUAUUAUUGUAAAUGUAAUAAUAUAUAUUUAUUGUUAUACAUAUUUGAAACAUAGGAAUAAUCGAGCACAAGGUACAGUCUACUGGUGCGUUGCAUGGAUAUUUUCACAGAAUGCGCAUACGGGAAAAUCCGUUAAGUCUAAAUAUACUCUGAUGGUAACACUGUGCCGCAAUAUCCGUUCUCCUCGUUCAGCUAUCAGUACUCAAGAUGCAGUUAUUUUCGUUCGAAAUACACUGUGACUUCGAUCAUUUUAAAAUGUUUGAAUAAUCUACCAGACGUUUAUGAGAGAAGUUAAACAGACUGUUACCCGUAUAGAUCAACAGGUUUAAUAAAGAAACCAAUCGUCCAAA